rnacentral:rRNA from 1 species
AUUGAACGCUGGCGGCAGGCCUAACACAUGCAAGUCGAACGAGUGGCGGACGGGUGAGUAAUGUCUGGGAAACUGCCUGAUGGAGGGGGAUAACUCCGGAAACGGGUAGCUAAUACCGCAUACCAUGGGAUGUGCCAGGAUGGGAUUAGCUAGUAGGUGGGGAAAGGGCUCACCUAGGCGACGAUCCCUAGCUGGUCUGAGAGGAUGACCAGCCACACUGGAACUUAGACACGGUCCAGACUCCUACGGGAGGCAGCAGUGGGGAAUAUUGCACAAUGGGCGCAAGCCUGAUGCAGCCAUGCCGCGUGUAUGAAGAAGGCCUUCGGGUUGUAAAGUACUUUCAGCGGGGAGGCGUUACCCGCAGAAGAAGCACCGGCUAACUCCGUGCCAGCAGCCGCGGUAAUAC